AUGAAAUCUCUCCUGCAUGCUACAGCCUGUGGCUUUGGAUCGCCUCGAGGCCCCGGAGAGUCAGCUCAGUGUGGAGUGUGGGCAAGCCCUGGCCGAUGGGAUGUGAGUAGAAGAGACAUGUGCUCAGCACGGUGGCCCGUGAGGGAAGGAACAGGUCUUGUGCUGCCCCCUGUCCACCCCACUUGCCAGAAAGUUGCUGCAGGGGACACUGUGGCUCUGUGGGUGCUGUGGAUGCCACAGGGCAUGGUGAUCAGCACCUUCAGCUGCGUGGGAGAGGUGUCAUUCCAGGACAGCCCUGCACGCUAUCUGUCCUGCUCACAGGAGCUACUAUGUGAACCUCGCUCCCAGUGCGCGAGGUGAGGACAGAAAUUGGGUCAGCUUCGGCAAACUUUCAGAGCACCUUGAUAUCGCCUUGACAUUCAAGUACAUGAUCUGUGGACCCACCUCAAUAUAUUUACCAGACCUGGGCAUGAGUCAGGCACUUUUUAUGCCAAAGCUACACAGCGCUCUGAGAUAGAUUGGAAAUUUAAAUGAUAAUAGAAAUAAUGACAGUAGUGCGCCAGAUUGUGUGAGAAACACUGCUGUAAGGGACGGCAGAGUCACAGAGAGAAGAAGGCAGGGCCUGGGUACUGUGCAGCCAGCCCAGCCACCCCACCACGAAUCCUCCGACAUUUACGGAACAGAGAAACUCUUCCCUGGUUUAAGCUGCCUUACAUUUGGGGGCCCGUUUGUUUCUCAGCCUAAGCUGCACCCUGUCAGACGUGCCUGUAUAUGAAGAGCAUGUGGGCAUAGCUGAUGGACCAGACACUCCAUGUACUGGCACAUAACAUUCUGACUCUCAAACAGUAAGAACAAAAGGAAAUACAGCGUGAUGUUGUAAAAUUCUCUCCGAGUCUGGAAAUCCUGAACAGUGGAGGGAGAGGAAGCGAGACCCUGUGGGCACAGCAGAGGUGAUGAGAGAGGAGGGCUUGGUGGAUGGGGAUCGGAUGGGGACUUUCCAUGGGCGCCCAUGAGCCACCCCCAUGACAUUCCUAGAAACAGACUAGGUGUGCUUUGCAAAGAGAAGGGUUUCUUAUGUAAACAAGUUGAAAGAUAUGGUCUUUGAGGCUGAAAGAGGGGCUACCAUGUGACUAGAAAGACUUUUAACAUUUGGACCCUACCUUCCAGGAAUCCCCAAUCGAUUUGCAGCCCAGUGGAGGCAGAGCAGAGGAGGGCAGGAGAGGAAGCUAACCAGCAAUGCGAGGACACACAGGGCGACCCCCUAGAGGCUGCCGCAGGCCAGGAGUCACCUGUGAACUGAGGUAGCCAAGGCAGGUUCUGUGGCAGAGGACAAAUGCCUGCAGAUGAGAACAAGCUGCAG
rnacentral:lncRNA from 13 species